CUAUCAGGAGACCGCCAGCUUCGGGAUCAACCAACGAGCGUUAAGUGUUGGGGAAAUUCCAACAAAUGCAGCAGUAAGGGAUUUUGGCAGGCGAAAACGAUCGCACCCGGGUCGAACAGAUCGACGGGGCGACAUAUCAGGUUGAUUGCAAAUUGUCCCGCCAAGGUACGGCUACAUCGCCGAAUUUCUGAACUAAAGUCGCGACUGAUAUUUCCUUGGGAGUUCGACAUCGUCACUUCUUACGAAAAAAAUUUUAUACCUAGCAGUUUUACACCUAUGUAUUCAGUGGUUUAUAUACUUUAUUUUGCGCGCAC
rnacentral:sRNA from 1 species